GACGUAGGGCGCGAGCGUUGUCCGGAUUUAUUGGGCGUAAAGAGCUCGUAGGCGGCUUGUCGCGUCGACUGUGAAAACUUGGGGCUCAACCCCAAGCUUGCAGUCGAUACGGGCAGGCUAGAGUUCGGUAGGGGAGACUGGAAUUCCUGGUGUAGCGGUGGAAAUGCGCAGAUAUCAGGAGGAACACCGAGUGGCAAGGCGGUCUCUGGGCAGUAACUGACGCUGAGGAGCGAAAGCGUGGGGAGCGAACAGG
rnacentral:rRNA from 1 species